UAAGGAAUAUUGGUCAAUGGACGCAAGUCUGAACCAGCCAUGCCGCGUGAAGGAUGAAGGUCCUCUGGAUUGUAAACUUCUUUUAUCUGGGACGAAAACGGGAUUUUAUCUCAAUCGACGGUACCAGAGGAAUAAGCACCGGCUAACUCCGUGCCAGCAGCCGCGGUAAUACGGAGGGUGCGAGCGUUAUCCGGAUUUACUGGGUUUAAAGGGUGCGUAGGUGGGCUUAUAAGUCAGUGGUGAAAUCUCCGAGCUUAACUUGGAAACUGCCGUUGAUACUAUAGGUCUUGAAUUAUCUGGAGGUAAGCGGAAUAUGUCAUGUAGCGGUGAAAUGCUUAGAUAUGACAUAGAACACCAAUUGCGGAGGCAGCUUACUACAUAUAAAUUGACGCUGAGGCACGAAAGCGUGGGGAUCAAACA
rnacentral:rRNA from 1 species